AAUCCAAUCAAGCCUGGCUUGGUAUUGGGCGUCGGGGUCCCCCGCGCCUCAAUUUCACCGGCCGGCCGUCGCCCGUCUUAGCGUUGUGAUACACUUCUCGCUAGCGAUGGGACCGGACCACGCCGUCAAAACCCCACGAAUUUCAAUCGAAAUUCGAUCAA
rnacentral:misc_RNA from 1 species